rnacentral:misc_RNA from 1 species
GAUGAAGAACGCAGCGAAAUGCGAUAAGUAAUGUGAAUUGCAGAAUUCAGUGAAUCAUCGAAUCUUUGAACGCAUCUUGCGCUCCUUGGUAUUCCGAGGAGCAUGCCUGUUUGAGUGUCAUUAAAUUCUCAACUACACUGACUUUGAAUUGGUGUGGCUUGGAUUUGGGGGGAAAAUUGUUGUGGGCUUUUUGUAUAGUCUGCUCCCCUGAAAUUGAUUAGCGGUACCUUUGUGGAACUGUCUACAGGUGUGAUAAUUAUCUACAUCUUAGACAUCUGCUGGAAUGCUGCUUUCUAAACCUUACUUGUAUUGACAAUCUUGACCUCAAAUCAGGUAGGACUACCCGCUGAACUUAAGCAUAUCAAUAAGCGGAGGA